rnacentral:rRNA from 1 species
CCGACGGUGAGAGAUGAAAGCUGGGGGAGCAAACCGGAUUAGAUACCCGGGUAGUCCCAGCCGUAAACGAUGUGCGUUAGGUGUAUCGGUGACCACGAGUCACCGAGGUGCCGAAGAGAAAUCGUGAAACGUACCGCCUGGGAAGUACGGUCGCAAGGCUGAAACUUAAAGGAAUUGGCGGGGGAGCACCAUAACAGGUGGAGCCUGCGGUUUAAUCGGACUCAACGCCGGGAAACUCACCAGAUAAGACAGCUGAAUGAUAGUCGGGCUGAAGACUCUACUUGACUAGCUGAGAGGAGGUGCAUGGCCGUCGUCAGUUCGUACUGUGAAGCAUCCUGUUAAGUCAGGCAACGAGCGAGACCCACGCCAACAGUUGCU